UCCUGACCGGAGCAACGCCGCGUGAGUGAUGAAGGUUUUCGGAUCGUAAAGCUCUGUGUUAGGGAAGACAAGUGCCGUUCAAAUAGGGCGGCACCUUGACGGUACCUAACCAGAAAGCCACGGCUAACUACGUGCCAGCAGCCGCGGUAAUACGUAGGUGGCGAGCGUUGUCCGGAAUUAUUGGGCGUAAAGGGCUCGCAGGCGGUUUCUUAAGUCUGAUGUGAAAGCCCCCGGCUCAACCGGGGAGGGUCAUUGGAAACUGGGGAACUUGAGUGCAGAAGAGGAGAGUGGAAUUCCACGUGUAGCGGUGAAAUGCGUAGAGAUGUGGAGGAACACCAGUGGCGAAGGCGACUCUCUGGUCUGUAACUGACGCUGAGGAGCGAAAGCGUGGGGAGCGAACAGGAUUAGAUACCCUGGUAGUCCACGCCGUAAACGAUGAGUGCUAAGUGUUAGGGGGUUUCCGCCCCUUAGUGCUGCAGCUAACGCAUUAAGCACUCCGCCUGGGGAGUACGGUCGCAAGACUGAAACUCAAAGGAAUUGACGGGGGCCCGCACAAGCGGUGGAGCAUGUGGUUUAAUUCGAAGCAACGCGAAGAACCUUACCAGGUCUUGACAUCCUCUGACAAUCCUAGAGAUAGGACGUCCCCUUCGGGGGCAGAGUGACAGGUGGUGCAUGGUUGUCGUCAGCUCGUGUCGUGAGAUGUUGGGUUAAGUCCCGCAACGAGCGCAACCCUUGAUCUUAGUUGCCAGCAUUCAGUUGGGCACUCUAAGGUGACUGCCGGUGACAAACCGGAGGAAGGUGGGGAUGACGUCAAAUCAUCAUGCCCCUUAUGACCUGGGCUACACACGUGCUACAAUGGACAGAACAAAGGGCAGCGAAACCGCGAGGUUAAGCCAAUCCCACAAAUCUGUUCUCAGUUCGGAUCGCAGUCUGCAACUCGACUGCGUGAAGCUGGAAUCGCUAGUAAUCGCGGAUCAGCAUGCCGCGGUGAAUACGUUCCCGGGCCUUGUACACACCGCCCGUCACACCACGAGAGUUUGUAACACCCGAAGUCGGUGAGGUAACCUUUAUGGAGCCAGCCGCCGAAUGGUGACAAGGAUUUG
rnacentral:rRNA from 1 species